rnacentral:rRNA from 1 species
CAGCCGCCACGGUAAUCCGAAGGGGGCUAGCGUUGCUCGGAAUCACUGGGCGUAAAGGGUGCGUAGGCGGGUCUUUAAGUCAGGGGUGAAAUCCUGGAGCUCAACUCCAGAACUGCCUUUGAUACUGAAGAUCUUGAGUUCGGGAGAGGUGAGUGGAACUGCGAGUGUAGAGGUGAAAUUCGUAGAUAUUCGCAAGAACACCAGUGGCGAAGGCGGCUCACUGGCCCGAUACUGACGCUGAGGCACGAAAGCAUAGGGAGCAAACAGGAUUAGAUACCCCGGUAGUCCCUGUCUCUUAUAC